GUGAUCAUACCAUCACUAAUGCAUCAGAUCCCAUCAGAACUCCGACAUUAAGCAUGUUUGGGCGAGAGCAGUACUAGGAUGGGUGACCCUCUAGGAGGUCCUCGUGUUGCACUU
rnacentral:rRNA from 1 species